rnacentral:rRNA from 1 species
UGGAAGUAAAAAGUCGUAACAAGGUCUCCGUUGGUGAACCAGCGGAGGGAUCAUUACCGAGUUCCAGUGGACUCCCAACCCUGUGUGAUCGCACCUGCCAUACCACAUGUUGCCUCGGCGGUAGUGGUCGAGCCUACCCAGUCAUCUGGCGAGGGCUCCCACCCGCCGGGCGCUACAAAACACUCUGUAACGUUGUGGCAUCUCUGAGUGGCUUCUAUAAUAAGUCAAAACUUUCAACAACGGAUCUCUUGGUUCUGGCAUCGAUGAAGAACGCAGCGAAAUGCGAUAAGUAAUGUGAAUUGCAGAAUUCAGUGAAUCAUCGAAUCUUUGAACGCACAUUGCGCCCGCCAGUAUUCUGGCGGGCAUGCCUGUCCGAGCGUCAUUUCAACCCAUCAAGCCCAGCUUGUGUUGGAGCCCUGCGGCCGCCGCAGCCUCCCAAAAACAGUGGCGGGCUCGCCAUCACACUGAGUGCAGUAGUGUUCUCCUCGCUCCUGUGUCGUGGCGGGUUCCGGCCGUGAAACCCCCCCAAUUAUUCAAGGUUGACCUCGGAUCAGGUAGGAAUACCCGCUGAACUUAAGCAUAUCAAUAAGCGGAGGA